rnacentral:rRNA from 1 species
CAGUCGCCGCGGGAAUACAGAGGGUGCGAGCGUUAAUCGGAUUUACUGGGCGUAAAGCGUGCGUAGGCGGCUUCUUAAGUCGGAUGUGAAAUCCCUGAGCUUAACUUAGGAAUUGCAUUCGAUACUGGGAAGCUAGAGUAUGGGAGAGGAUGGUAGAAUUCCAGGUGUAGCGGUGAAAUGCGUAGAGAUCUGGAGGAAUACCGAUGGCGAAGGCAGCCAUCUGGCCUAAUACUGACGCUGAGGUACGAAAGCAUGGGGAGCAAACAGGAUUAGAUACCCCGGAAGUCCCUGUCUCUUAUAC